rnacentral:rRNA from 1 species
AUGAACGCUAGCUACAGGCUUAACUCAUGCAAGUCGAGGGGCAGCAUUUUAGUUUGCUUGCAAACUGAAGAUGGCGACCGGCGCACGGGUGAGUAACACGUAUCCAACCUGCCGAUAACUCCGGAAUAGCCUUUCGAAAGAAAGAUUAAUACCGGAUAGCAUACGAAUAUCGCAUGAUAUUUUUAUUAAAGAAUUUCGGUUAUCGAUGGGGAUGCGUUCCAUUAGUUUGUUGGCGGGGUAACGGCCCACCAAGACUACGAUGGAUAGGGGUUCUGAGAGGAAGGUCCCCCACAUUGGAACUGAGACACGGUCCAAACUCCUACGGGAGGCAGCAGUGAGGAAUAUUGGUCAAUGGGCGAGAGCCUGAACCAGCCAAGUAGCGUGAAGGAUGAAGGCUCUAUGGGUCGUAAACUUCUUUUAUAUGGGAAUAAAGUUUUCCACGUGUGGAAUUUUGUAUGUACCAUAUGAAUAAGGAUCGGCUAACUCCGUGCCAGCAGCCGCGGUAAUACGGAGGAUCCGAGCGUUAUCCGGAUUUAUUGGGUUUAAAGGGAGCGUAGGUGGAUUGUUAAGUCAGUUGUGAAAGUUUGCGGCUCAACCGUAAAAUUGCAGUUGAAACUGGCAGUCUUGAGUACAGUAGAGGUGGGCGGAAUUCGUGGUGUAGCGGUGAAAUGCUUAGAUAUCACGAAGAACUCCGAUUGCGAAGGCAGCUCACUAGACUGUCACUGACACUGAUGCUCGAAAGUGUGGGUAUCAAACAGGAUUAGAUACCCUGGUAGUCCACACAGUAAACGAUGAAUACUCGCUGUUUGCGAUAUACAGUAAGCGGCCAAGCGAAAGCAUUAAGUAUUCCACCUGGGGAGUACGCCGGCAACGGUGAAACUCAAAGGAAUUGACGGGGGCCCGCACAAGCGGAGGAACAUGUGGUUUAAUUCGAUGAUACGCGAGGAACCUUACCCGGGCUUAAAUUGCAACAGAAUAUAUUGGAAACAGUAUAGCCGUAAGGCUGUUGUGAAGGUGCUGCAUGGUUGUCGUCAGCUCGUGCCGUGAGGUGUCGGCUUAAGUGCCAUAACGAGCGCAACCCUUAUCUUUAGUUACUAACAGGUUAUGCUGAGGACUCUAGAGAGACUGCCGUCGUAAGAUGUGAGGAAGGUGGGGAUGACGUCAAAUCAGCACGGCCCUUACGUCCGGGGCUACACACGUGUUACAAUGGGGGGUACAGAAGGCGGCUACCUGGUGACAGGAUGCUAAUCCCAAAAACCUCUCUCAGUUCGGAUCGAAGUCUGCAACCCGACUUCGUGAAGCUGGAUUCGCUAGUAAUCGCGCAUCAGCCAUGGCGCGGUGAAUACGUUCCCGGGCCUUGUACACACCGCCCGUCAAGCCAUGAAAGCCGGGGGUACCUGAAGUACGUAACCGCAAGGAGCGUCCUAGGGUAAAACUGGUAAUUGGGGCU